rnacentral:lncRNA from 1 species
AUGGUGUCUUGCUCUGUCACCCCAGCUGGAGUGCGGUGGCACAAUCUUGGCUCACUGCAACCUCCGCCUCCUGGGUUCAAACAAUUCUCCUGCCUCAACCUCUCAAGUAGCUGGGAUUACAGAUCAACCAGCAGUGAAAGUGAGUUCCAGUUCCUCCAUGUCCACGCCAACACUUUCAGCAACUUUAAAAGGUAUGUAGUGAUAUCUCAUGGUGGUUUUAACUUGGAUUUUUCUAACUGCUAAUUGUUUUUAGCAUCUUUUCAUGUGCUUAUUUGCCAUCCCUGUACUUCAUUUGGUGAAGCAUCUAUUCAGAACUUUUGUUCCUGCAUGGUCAUGUAUCACUUAAUGAUGGGGAUACAUACAUACUGAGAAAUGUAUUCUUAGGUGAUUUUGUCACUGUGAAUACAUCAUAGUGUGUACUUACAUAAACUGAAGUGGUACAGAUUGAGCAUCCCUAAUCUAAAAAUUUGAAAUCCGAAAUGCUACAAAAUCUGAAACUUUUUUGGAGGGCUGACUUUAUGCCACAGAUAGAAAAUCCCUCACCUGACCUCAUGUGACAAGGUUGCAGUCAAAACUUUGUUUUGUGCAUGACAUUAUUAUACAAUAUGUAUAGGAUUACCUUCAGGCUAGUCAUGUAAGGUAUACAUAAAACAUAAAUGAAUUUUGUGUUUAGACUUAGGUCCCAUUCCCAAGAUAUCUCAUUAUGUACAUGCAAAUAUUCCAAAAUCUAAAGAAGUCUGAAAUCUGAAACAGUUCUGGUUCCAAGCAUUUCAGAUAAAAGAUAUUCAACCUGUAUAGCUUCCCAUACACCUAGGCUAGAUGGCAUAGCUGAUUGCUCCUAGGCUACAAACCUGUACAGCAUGUUACUGUACUGAAUACUCUAGGUAACUGUAACAUAAUGGCAAGUGUUUACGUAUUAAAAGUAGAAGAGGUACAGUAAAAACAUGGUAUUAUAAUCUUAUGAGACUACCAUCAUCUAUGUGAUUUGUCAUUGACCAAAACAUUGUUUCGUGGUGCAUGAGUAUUAGUUUUCUGGUGCUGUAUAACAAACUAUCAAAAACAUAGUGGCUUUAAACAAUACACAUUUGUUAUCCCACAGUUUUUGUGCAUUGGGAGUCUGGGCACUGUGUAGCUGGGUCCUCUGCUCAGGGUCUUACCAAGUUGCAAUCAGGGUUUCAGCCAGGCUGUUUUCUCAUCUGGUGGCUAGGUUAGGGACAGAUCCACUUCCAAGCAUAUCAGGUUGUUGGCAGGAUUCAUUAUCUUGCAGCAGUGUAACUGAGGGCUCCAGCAUCCUACUAGCUGUCUCUUAGCUACUAGAGGUUGUCUGCCAUACCUUGCCAUGUGGCCCCCUCCACAGGCAGUUUAAAACAUGGCUUUUUGCUUCUGCAGGGCCAGGAGGCAAAUCUCUUUGCAGUCUGUAAAGAUGGAGCCUUAUGUAACUUUAGGUAAUCAUGGAGUGAUAGCCCAUCAUCUUUGCCAUAUUCUAUUGGUUAAAAGCAAGUCACAGAUUCUAUGUGUACUCAGAGGCAGGUGAUUAAAACAGGGCAUGACUCAUUGGAGGUCAAAUUCAUUGUUUUACUGGGUUAUCUAUUUUCCUCUUUUCCAGUCUUGAGAGUUCUUUGUAUACUCUGGAUAGACAUUCAUUAUCAGAUGUACACUUUUCCUCCCAGUCUGUGGCAUGUCUUCUCUUGCUUUAAACAGCAUUCUUUCAAAGAUUGGAAGUUUUAUU